rnacentral:rRNA from 1 species
AGGAUAAACGCUGGCGGCGUGCAUGAGACAUGCAAGUCGAACGGACACUCGGGGCUUGCUCCGAGUGUUAGUGGCGGACGGCUGAGUAACGCGUAGGUGACCUGCCCCGAAGUGGGGAAUAACUGCCCGAAAGGGUGGCUAAUACCGCAUGUGGUGGAACGUUCAUUCGUUCCAGUAAAGCCGCAAGGCGCUUCGGGAGGGGCCUGCGUCCGAUUAGCUCGUUGGUGGGGUAACGGCUCACCAAGGCGACGAUCGGUAGGUGGUCUGAGAGGACGAUCACCCAGACUGGGACUGAGACACGGCCCAGACUCCUACGGGAGGCAGCAGUCGGGAAUUUUGCGCAAUGGACGAAAGUCUGACGCAGCAACGCCGCGUGAGGGAUGACGGCCUUCGGGUUGUAAACCUCUUUAUCAGGGACGAUAAUGACGGUACCUGAUGAAUAAGUCACGGCUAACUACGUGCCAGCAGCCGC